rnacentral:rRNA from 1 species
UACGGAGGGUGCAAGCGUUAUCCGGAUUCACUGGGUUUAAAGGGUGCGUAGGCGGACAGGUAAGUCAGUGGUGAAAUCUCUGGGCUUAACUCAGAAACUGCCGUUGAUACUAUUUGUCUUGAAUAUCUUGGAGGUAAGCGGAAUAUGUCAUGUAGCGGUGAAAUGCUUAGAUAUGACAUAGAACACCGAUUGCGAAGGCAGCUUACUACAGGGAUAUUGACACUGAGGCACGAAAGCGUGGGGAUCAAACAGG